CCUACGGGAGGCAGCAGUGGGGAAUAUGGGCAAUGGAGGAAACUCUGACCCAGCAAUGCCGCGGGAAUGAAGAAGGUCUUCGGAUUGUAAAGUUCUUUAGGCAGGGAAGAAGUUAAUGACGGUACCCGAAGAAUAAGCUCCGGCUAACUACGUGCCAGCAGCCGCGGUAAUACGGAGGGAGCAAGUGUUGUUCGGAAUGACUGGGCGUAAAGGGUGCGUAGGCGGUUGUACAAGUUAGAAGUGAAAUACCCAGGGCUUAACUCGGGUGCUGCUUCUAAAACUGUAUGACUUGAGUGCAGUAGAGGUUAGUGGAAUUCCUAGUGUAGCGGUGGAAUGCGUAGAUAUUAGGAGGAACACCAGAGGCGAAGGCGGCUAACUGGACUGCAACUGACGCUGAGGCACGAAAGUGUGGGGAGCAAACAGGAUUAGAUACCCGGGUAGUC
rnacentral:rRNA from 1 species